UGAAAACAAGCUUCUUUUGAAGUCGAAAUGGAUUUAAACAUGAAUAGAUCUUAAGUGACCGGCACAAUCAGCCGUAUGGCCUCAUCACAUACUUGGAAGGCUACCUCCAUCUAAAAUAAAUAGACCUAUCUGGCAGGAUAUUGGCAUAGUAUGGUUACAGAUCAAUCUGAGAGUAGAUGUGGCAAUACUAAGGCAAAAAUGAAACAAUAAAGACGAACUUUAAUGAGAACGGCACGAGCAGGUUUGGUUGCAACUUCAGGUCAUGUAGUAUAGUGUGAUGAGUGAGUGAAGCCCCAUAACUGCACAACAAAUGAGACA